rnacentral:rRNA from 1 species
UCAGGCCUAACACAUGCAAGUCGAACGAGAUUAUAGGGUAAGCUUGCUUACCUUAUAUGACAGUGGCGCACGGGUGCGUAACGCGUAUGCAACCUACCUUUAUCAGGGGGAUAGCCUCUCGAAAGAGAGAUUAAUACCGCAUAAAAACACAGUACGGCAUCGUACAAUGUUCAAACAUUUAUGGGAUAAAGAUGGGCAUGCGUGACAUUAGCUAGUUGGUGAGGUAACGGCUCACCAAGGCAACGAUGUCUAGGGGAUCUGAGAGGAUGACCCCCCACACUGGUACUGAGACACGGACCAGACUCCUACGGGAGGCAGCAGUAAGGAAUAUUGGUCAAUGGACGCAAGUCUGAAAAAGCCAUGCCGCGUGCAGGAAGACGGCCCUAUGGG